rnacentral:tRNA from 1 species
GGACUGAUAGCUCAAUUGGCAGAGCAACGGACUCUUAAUCCGUGGGUUUAGGGUUCGAUUCCCUAUCAGUCCA